CGGAGCCGCCGCAUCCUCCCCUCGGCCCGGCCCCGCCGUCUCCCCCCGCCCAGGGGGGCGGGAAAGGCAGCGGGCGCUGCCCGCAGCCGCGGCGCUCCCCGAAGUGGCUGUGCAUGGCGUGUCCCCACCCGCUCCGCUGCCACCGAUAAAUCCCAGUGCCGGGGGGCAGCGCGGCACUUGGCGGCUGUCACGCUGUGGGGAGGCGGCGGGGCUCUGCCUGGCUUCCCCCGCCCGGGGGCAGCGACCCCCGUCCAGGGGGCAACAGGAGCCGUAGGCACUGGAGCCCAGAGAGAGUUUUGUAGACAGCUGAGCUGUAACUAUGUCUUCCUGACUUGCAAAUAUGCAAUGACUGCCAGCCAAAUAGGUAAUAUUUUAUUUUUUAAAUGGGCAGCUUCCCAUCAACAUGUUUGUGUUCUUGCAGUACUGCUUUCAAGUAAUAGCAUUUCUCACGUGUGAAGUUUUGCAUGAGGGGAAAUACUUGGACUUUACCAAAAUUGUACCUCUGCUGUAUCUUAAUUUCACAUUCCAAAAAAUCCAAGGUUGCAAAACCAAAGGUGGCUGCCCAGCGAGACCUGGUCACAGGAGUGGGUGAUGGUAAUACACAGGCACAAUUCACACGUUCACACAGUCAAUAACUCAGUUUUGAUCCAUUUACCAAGACACUUCAUUAUAGCACUAGAAUAAUAAAACAAAUUGCUUCUCAAGCUGCUGAAAUACUUGAGGUUCAGCAGUUAGCAACCAAUUUGGAAAUUAAAAGUGAGGUCUGAAACAAACAUCUUCUCAAACAUCUUCUAGACAUUUUCCAGCUGAUUCCUCCAAACUUCUGAGGGGCAGAGCAGCAUGUUUCUGCUCUGCCCAGAGGGAAGCAGUCCAGCUGGGUAUGUCCAUGCCCCCAACUCCGUCUGAUGCAUCCCACUGGGAUAGCUGUGCUGUACAGCUGCUCAAAUGGUUUUCCAUGCAAUUGCCUUUUCCCUGGGUUGUGAAAGUCAAGUAUUCACCUUUCUUGUUUUGCCAAGACUAAUGACUUUGUAGUUGUUAUAUUUCAUAGGCUAGCACAGACUAGCCAAGCGGUCUCACAGAGCUGUAAAUAUUUGAUAAAUCUGCUUUGCACAGUGUGAGUGCAAAUUCCACACUGUAACAGACAUCCAAAAAUCAAAUUAUGCUGGACAUUAUCUUCCUGAAUUAAAAGCCCAGAUCACCACUCUUUUUGUGCCAUGGUCCGAAACAAAGAUCUGAAAAUCCUCAAUAGUUUGACAAAUUAUGCAUUAGGGGCUGGUAUGAGUAGAGCACUCACCUGUGUUACAAUUGCCCCUGCCUGCUGUAUGUGUAUGAGCCUUUCUCUGGGCUGCAUUUCACGCAGCGUCUGCUUGCUGAGUCUUAGGAGGGCUUUCAGGGAAAACAGCGAUCAUCUUGUCCACAUUCAAAUCCCUCCCAUGGGUCCUCAAAAAAAGGAGAUGCCUUUUGCUGUUAGGAAACCUGUGGAUGUUUUCCCAUUGUGUCUGGUAACGCAUGGACACAAAAGAAAAAGCCCCCUCUUACAAAAGAGAACAAACCAAACAAACAAAACAAACAAACAAACAAAAACAAAAAAAAAAAAGGGGGGGGGGGGAGAAAUAGUAAGAAUUCUUAUUCUAGUACAAGAAAUAGUAGUUAUCCACAAUUGUUACAAUUUGUGCUUGGAGCCUCCUGUCAGAAGAUCUCUUGUGGUUGGACUGUGCUGCCUGGCUGAGCCUCGGUGGGGUCUUGGGGGGUCCAAAAGGCUCCGUCUUCAGUUUGGGAGCAGGGACUGUGGUCCUAAUUGCUCCUACUUGUGGAGAAGUUUGGAACCAGAAAUUAGGGAAAUUCCUACAUGCCAUUUUUCUUGUCAUUAUUAUAGAAGUGAAACAAGCCCUACAUUUAAUGUGUUGGUUGUGAUGGUCUCUGUUCUGGAGAGUUUGAGGCAAACACAGACUUUUUCUUUCUCUCUUUUUCCCUUUGUCUCUUUUCUUUUCUCACAGAAGUGUCUGCAAAGCAAGGAGAAACCUUCCCUUAGGAGCAGCAGUGCCAAAUUGGCUCUGAAACCUUCUCAUAUUAGACAGCAAUUGAUACUUUUUAAUGACUUAGUAUAGUCCAAUUGUGUCUUUGAAGAGGAUACAGUAUUUAGUGUCAAAAUAUCAGUUUUCUGUAAUUGUUGUUUAUAGGCUCUGGCUUAUGAUUUAACACAUAUAUUAACCUGCUAAAAGGAAAUGCAUGCUCAAAAAAAGUAAAGCUUGCCUGAUUUUUCAGGUAUUUGAUAACAGAAGAACUAUUUACAAAAACUUCGUUACAAAAAAAAAAAAAAAGAGAGAGAGAAAAAUACUUUUAGUAACUUUUAGUAUCUCAUACAAGGGGAAAAAACAUAUCAUAGAUAAAACCAGAUCAGCCAUAUGCAAGAUGUUUAUUCACCGCUUGCUUUCAGGCAAGUUGGGUAUGUGGGUGGGCAAUAGAUAGGUAUACUGGGAUUUACCGGUGGAGGUAUUUGCAACUUUCUUAGCUAGCUGUCAAAAAACACCUCAUAGGUGUUUGGAUACUUAUACCAUUUCCGUUAACUGUUCCUGUUCAUAAGUACUAGCAAAGAAUCCUUCCCAAAGCUGCUGAAGAGCAACCAAAAGAACAAGUGCAGAAAUGAGGUGAGAAAGUCCUGGUCAAGCCCAAGGGACAGCCAAGCUCAAGGAGGGAGCUGAGCUGAGGUUCAUGUUAAGGUUCUGCUUUGCAUUACCAUCAGAGAUAAAACCUAGAGUACAGGCAAGUCCAGAUACCAGGUCCCGGGGAGAAGUAAGGACUUAGCCCAAUCACAGCAGUAUAUUGGAAGAAAAAGUUCAUGCCAGUUUUCCUGAGUCCCUGCUAUCUAUAUAAAUUCACUGUGUGUACUUUUGGGUUUUGUCCAUAUCCCUUACAAAUUGUGGAUGGCCACUGGAGACAACAGAUAUCUGGGAAGUGCUGAGAACACAAAUGAAUUAUUAAUACAUAACCAUAUAGAGAAGAAAAUAUUACUUAAAUGUCUCUUCCACAUCUUAGUUAAACUUUUCUUAAGCCAAAUUUCUUUAUUUUCUGGUUGCUGAGGGAGAUUUCUAAAGGGCUCAUUAUUAAUGCUGUUAUCCCAGCCCUCUUAUAGUUUGGGGAAUUCAGCAAGUGUAAAUAGAGCUAAUUGCAGGCUCUUUCCCAGCCUAUUCAGAUGUGAAGGAGUUUUAGUGUAUCCUGUAUGUGAGAUCCAGGCUGUGUCCCACUGAAAAUGAUUCUAUAUCUUUCCCUCAUGGACAGGGUGCUCUGGCCUUCAUCACCAUCUUCUGUCCACACUCAACAUCACCCUGUGAGACUUGUGACUAGGGGACAAGUGUCUCAUUACUCCCCACAGCCGUAUCCACCCUGGCUGUCCCUUGCCAGUGCUUCUGCCUGGGCACCAGAGGAGGGCUGGGAAAGCCCAGGGAUUGCAAGUGUUGCUCCUGAACAGCCAGAGCCAGAUGGUGAUGAGAAAACCUCCAGCUGCAAGGGAGCACAAUAGCAAGGAGCAAGCAGACCUUACAGUCUUCAGAGCUUGAAUUUCAAAUAUAAAAUGUAAAAGUAGGCUAAAAAUGCAGAGGCUAGCAUUUAUCUCUUUUCUUGGUUUAAUUUUUACAGUGCAGCUUAAUUUGGUCUUUUUUAUUUGACAGUGUAUAGCACAUUCUAAUCAAACAUUUAAUAAGACAUUCCCAUAAGGUUAAGAGCCACAGUAAGAUAGUCCUUAUUUACUGACAGAUUUAUACCUGAGAAGUUUGCAGGCAUCGCACUGUGAGCUGUGUGAUGAUUUUAAUGUGAGGGUGGCAUUUUCAUGGAUAAAAUUUCCAUUAUUUCAUAACCAAGCUAUUGUUUUCUAACCAGGCACACAAUGGGCAUUAUUCAAGGGUGAGGAAAAGAGAUAUUAUAGUUAUUUCAAAAAUCAUUCUUUAGGUGCAUGUAAUAUCUCUCUUCUCUGUGUGUUUAAUUCAUUAUACUGUUGAUACCUUAGUAGAUUUUCAGGAAAAUCUUUUUUUUCUCUGGAACUGGCUUAUAAAAUUAUGUUUUUCAAGUGUUAUGUUCAGCAGGCAAAGCAUGGAAGUAAUUCUAUUUUGACUGUUUUAAGUGGAAUGCUUUUACAUUGUUGAUUCAACAACAAAUAUCUUAAUGGACCUUUUAACGUAACAACCUUCAAAUAAUUUCAGUCUCUGGUACAGCCGUACCAAUGCUGAUCUAAUUCUGGGCCAUAUUAGAUAGAAUGGUUUAAUCUGUUCCAUGAGGCAAGAAAACCUGUGUAUGUGGUUCAAGCUGUGUGCAGUAUAAGGCUGAGCAAUACUGCGUGAUCUUGAAAAUGGUUCUGAAAAUCAAUCAGUCUGAAUUUUCACUUGUGCUAGGAUGCUUUUUGGCAGAUAGAAGGAAAUAAAAACAGGGUCAAAAAGAGCUUGAAAAGUACAAUGCAUGUAAUAGUAGACCUUGGACAGUGAAGCCAGAUGAUAAGAAGUCCUCAACAAGCAAUGCCUGCUGAUAAAUGCUACAUCCCAGCCAUCUACCCAUGCCCAGGAUGAUGAAGUUAAAUUGCCAAAAACUCCUUGAUGGUUCCUUGCAUUCCUGCACUGAAGCAUCAACACAGAGAGAUCUAGAUAGUAAUUAGAGACCUAGAUUCUAAUUGCAAAGAUCCAGACAGUAGUUGUUUCUUGUGGAACCAACAUUGUCUCAGAAAUGUCCCUGGACAACUAACUAUUAGUGGAUUUCAGAAAUGGUGUCUCCUUACCUGAGUCUUUCAAUCCCCCAAAAUUUGUGUUCAGUUUCUAUUACAUGCCCGUCAGGUGUGCUACAAAAUGACAUUUCAAAUUGCUGAUUUUAACAGCUCAUUUAGACAUAUAUUUCCCUAAAAGCCAUAUCACAGUAUCACAGUAUGUUUGGGAUUGGAAGAGACCUCAAAAGAUCAUCUAGUCCAAUCCCCCUGCUGGAGCAGGAACGCCUAGGUGAGGUCACACAGGAACAUGUCCAGGUGGGUUUUGAAUGUCUCCAGAGAAGGAGACUCCACAACCCCCCUGGGCAGCCUGUUCCAGUGCUCUGGCACCCUCACUGAGAAGAAGUUUCUUCUUAAAUUUAAGUGGAACCUCUUGUGUUCCAGCUUGAUCCCAUUACCCUUUGUCCUGUCAUUGUUUGCCACCGAGAAGAGCCUGGCUCCAUCCUCGUGGCACUCACCUUUUAUAUAUUUAUAAGCAUUAAUAAGGUCACCCCUCAAUCUCCUCUUCUCCAAACUAAAGAGACCCAGCUCCCUCAGUCUUUCUUCAUAAGGGAGGUGCUCCACUCCCUUAAUAUCCACAGCACUUUUGAUCCUUCCUUAUCAAUUUAGGCAGAUAUGUUGGUGCAGUUGCCUAUUUCAAGUCACCCUUCAGUGUUAACCUUCUUGUGCCAAAGUUUGUCCCCAGGUGCAUUAUCUUUUGCACUGAGUUCACAAGUGGGUGUAGAUGUAGCCAGCACCUUUGGAAAGAACUGGAUAUCCUCUGAUCAUGUGGACACCUCUACACCUUCACCUAUAGAUUCUUUCCCCAAAUCAGUGUCAUCCAGGCAAAGAUAAAUGCUUCCCAUGACCCCCAAAAAACUUGCAUAUUCCUGACAUUUCAUGUGCCAAACAUAACCUAACAGAGGAGAAAGUAUUGUCUUCUGGUACUGAUGUGGAUCAAAUGUGAGCUCUGUUCUCCCGUUAACAAAUCCCAGAACUCUGUUAAUGUCCUCAUUGUUCCUCAAGUAGGAAAUAUUCAGCAUCAGAUGUUUUUUUAAAAAGUGGCCCCUUCUCCAGUUACUAGAAAUUAUUGCUCUUGUGUAUAUUACUUCUGGGACUACACUAAGGAAAAUGCCUAGGUUUGGUUGGGAGAGGAGUCCUGCUUGUGACCAGUCCGAUAGCUCUUCUGCUCCUGAGGUUUCUUAGAACAAUGAGUCUUUUCAGAUGCCCAGAUAGAGGGCAGAGAUCUCAAUCAGUUCUUGUUUUCUUCCCUCUUUCCAGAAUUCAAACUUUGGUGGGAUUUUCAACCACACCAGUAAUCCUUGAGAGGGAUUUUUCUCAUUUUCCCCCUGUCCUGUAGUACCUGGUCACUGUUUGCAGCAGGGCCACUCAUUCCUGUGAGGAACAGCCCUGAAAGCCCAGCCUUGGGUAAGAGGAGACACAGGCUGCGCUUCUGGACUAGUGGUGCUCUGGCUAACCCUGCUUCAUGGAGGGGUCAUGUCACACCAUCGCCCGAGGUCCCUUCCAGUAUGAUAUUUCCAAUGUGAUUUGGCUCCUGGAUUUUUACAGUAUCACGUAAGUGGCAUCUUCCUGCUCUUCAAAGAGGCUGCCAAAACUCCCACUUCAUCACAGAGAAUAAAAAAAGUUGUUUAAUAUCCCUCCUUCUAGCUCUCAGCAGUUAAACUUAUUUACUCUUUGCUGAUGUUAAAUAGUCUGACAAAGUUCUUGCACAGUAGCAUGUUGUCUGAAAACUGUUCAUCCAUCUUCUCUCUUGUGCUUUGCAACAUAGUCAAGGAAGGUGCACACCAUUGUAAAGAAGCACACAAGAGCAGAUUAAACAUUGAGCCAGGGAAGACCACUAUGAAGCUGCUGUAGUUGUGUAGAUGUGCUGAUGCCCUUCAUUUCCAGCUGAUGCUUUCUCUUGAUGAUUUCUCUCAAAGACAAGGGGAUGCUGUCUCUUGAUGCUCUCUCUCAAACAAUCUGAGCACAUGUUUUUCUUGUAGCUUCAGAGCUAAUGGGCUAAGACACUCAAGGCGGGUAGGUAAAUGCUUAGUCUAGGAGCCAGGACCAAAUAGAAACCUCUAGAGAAGCAGUAUGAAAGCUGGAGGGAGGGCACAUUCACCCUGUCAUGAGCAUGAAAGGAGAGAAGAGAAAUUUCCAACUAGCAAGCACAGCCAGCCUCCCUCCAAGCUCCCAUUUUUAGCCCUAUGCAUGUCCCCACCACCUCAUGCAGGACCAUGAGGGCAGAAUCCCUUGCUCCCUGCCCCAGCAGUGCGUGGCCAAACCAGCACUCACCACGAGACACCCUGCCCUCCGGAUGCUUACUUUCUUCCAGCUGCAUGCUCCCUAAAAAUUAGUUAUAAAAGGCUGUCUGCAAUGUUCUGACAAGUUCUUCUGAUUUAAGGACACCAAAUUCAGUUACAGUAAGUUCUGGCAUGGCUGUUUUUGCUGUUUUCCUCAAUUCCCAAAAGAAAUUAAGCAGGGGAGCUGGGAUUCAGACAUUUGAGAUUAAUGGGAUUGCUCAGGCAUUGAAGCAGUGACAAAAUGGAAAGUUCUUCCUAGCAGAAAAAAAAAAAAGUAAUUAGUUCCUUUCAUAUUUUCAGUUUGACACUAGUGUUAGCAUCAAUUAUUCUCUGUUGGGAAUAUUACGUCUUAACAAGGUUCACUGUAAUAUCAUCCCUUCUCAGUAGUAAUCGGAAGAGAGAAGGCCUCUUCAAAUCAUUGUCUUGCUACCUUGAGAUUUUUAACAUUUAAGCCUCCCACUUAUCAGCUAAUACUUUGCAUUGACUUCAGCACCUGAACAAUUCCUGUAGUCUCAAGUGUCUGAAAUCAACUCUUUUUUUUCUUUUUCCUCUUUUCUUUUUUCCUCCCCCUUUAUUGGCAACAGACUGCAGAGAAAAUCAACAACAUUUCCAAGCUAAAAGGUAUUGUUACAAGUGAAGUUAAAAUCCUCAGUUUGCUGAAAACAUGUCAAAAUAAUUUGGCAAAACUGUGAGCCUGGGUCACGGGGAGAGAGGGUAGCUCCACUGUGUUGGUUUCAGCUUAAUCGGGAAACCGUGCCAGCCCCCGGUCUCAGCUUCUGCUCUGCAGGUCACAGCCAUCCACUGCUGUUUCCAAAGGUGUAAAGCUGUCAAACUCCAAAAUGCUCAGGUGCUAAAUACCCACUAUUUUUAAGAGUGGUGCUGCUGUCCUAGUGCAUGCUUCUUGGGGAGUUUAAAAAAGCCUGGUGCAGUCUACGCCAUUUGGUUUUCUCAGGCCGAGGAGAUCCUUCCUCCAUGCCACCACCACUCAUGGCACGAGCUCACAGCCAGUUACCCUAUGCACAAGUUACACCUUUGCUUAGUUUCUAAGCCUGGUGCCCCUCUUCCAUGUCCCCGUCUCUAAUCCAAAAAUCCUGUCUCCAAUUUAACAUAAUGUGUUUGAGACUGUUGAAACAUGUUUAAGGAGAUUUAGAUGCACAGCUGUGUGACCAAAUCCCCUAGAUAAGUUAGAUAAUCAGCCUUUAUGCACAGCUCCAAGUUAUUUGGAAUAGAGAACUGCUGAAAAUAACCAGAAAAAAAAAAAGUAAGUGACCUCCUUUCCUGCGCCUCCAGAUUGGGACAUUCUGUUGGGUAAACAUCUCUGAAUAAAGCUGUUCUGAAUUAAAUAAACCACUGGCUUUGGUGGGUAUAAUAUAAGGCUGGUAAUAGAAGCUAUUUAAAAUCCCAUCAAGUUGUUGAAGUCCUAAUCCAGAACACACCGAGACUGUUGUGCGUUGCUGCUGGCACACCUGGCCAUGAUGUCUUAUGGACCACCAUACCCUGAUGUGGCCCGUUUCUGCCCACCUAAACUUGUUGUUCAGAUGUCCAGGGCAGAUCACCAGCUCCUUAACUCAAGUGACACCUUGUAGCUGGUGGGAUAAAAUUAAAUCACUUGUGACACAGAGAUGAAGUGUAGUGAGAACAUGACUGCCACAGCUGGACAACAUCCAGCUUAAGCCUGUGAGGCCUCCAGAAGGAUUAUGAAGUUGGGCAUUUUCGAAGGACUCACAAAAACUCUUAGGUUCAGCAGGGAAACUGUGCUGCCUCUGCAAAACAAAGGGCUCCUGCGGAGACGUUUGCGACUGGCUGCUAUAGUAUACAGCCAGCCCAGUUAUCAUAGGGACUUAGCUGAAAAUGAAAAGGCAUAUUUGAAGCCAGUUGUGCUGAAUACUUUAACUUGAUUAUUUGAAGCAUUUUGAAGCAUUUGUAAGAAUUGUAUUGUAACCCUCACUUUCAUUGGUGUGGUUGUCUUUUGCAAAUUGUUAAAAAUUACAGGUCACCUUUGAGAUGGAAGCAUUUUACCAUUUGUUGUAAAAGCUUUUAAAGAAUAAUUCAUGUCUUAUUUACUCUGUCACCAGAUCAUUUCAUAUGCAAAUGCGCUGAGAAUGUCAAACUGUGUUGAUAAUAGCAGAGUUUCCCUUCUACUUGUUUUUAUUUCCGUGCAAAUAUAAUUAAGGCAAGAAGUGUCUUAGGAGUGUCUGAUCACAUGCAUUAAAUGAUCUCCUUUUUGCCUCCUAAGGCAAACACACCCCGAGCUGCAGGGCCUCUGGGAAAGAGCCAUGGCUUCUGUUAGGGCAGCACCUCGUACACUUGGCUCACUGCUCAGCCUCCGAGCCCAUACUUGUGCUGGCUUUGUGCAGGCAGUUGUUGAAGGUGAUUCACUGGGAACUAAACACGUGUCUAAUUUUCAGCAAGGAAACAGCCCCAGCAACUACUUCAGGAAGCAUUGUUGUAUUUCACAUUAGACUUGUUCUUAAGACUCUCUGAAUUUAGGCUUAUAUUGCAGCAAGACUCCAACAAACAAGGAUUCCUGGGGAACUGGGGUUAGAUGACUUGAGACUUUGGGAGUGAUUCCUGCAAAAUCUGGGGAAAAAUGGAAACUUUUCCACUAGCUGCCAAGAGCCUGUGAAAGAAGGUUAUGAAGUGAUAUCAAGAGGACGUUUGUCUGUGAACUGGAGCAAGCGUGACAACAAACCUUCCAUGUUGCACUGGGGAGAGUACACAAAGGCACGUUGAAGACAUCCAGGAUACAGGGGAGGACACCUUUGGACAGAACUGUGUCUUAAGAGUAAAUUUUGCAAUGUGCUAAUCUUUCUCUAAAGCGUCGCAAGGAACUAGCAGUACUCACUAGGGUUCUGACUGGGCCUGAGGUAACCAAGGGAUAACAUCAUCCGCUGAAAGCUCCUGUGUGUCAGAAACGAGGCACUCUGUUAAAGGGUGACUUGAUCCCAAGCAAUCGUUUGAGUUACUCUCACCAUACAGAUGGAGUAAUUUAGGCAGUGACCCAUGUGUGCUGACGACCCCUGCAAAACAGACUGGUUUUGAUUAAGUACCCAAGAGUGGUUUUGGAUGCCUGAUAUAAGGUCUUUUCAGAGAAGGAGCCUACAGUGGCUUGGCCAAAUCACUCCAUCACUACAUCAUAUAAUAUGAUAUACUUAAUUUGAGUCGUAUAAUUUGACCCUGUGUAAUCCAUCAGAGUUCAUCUAUCUCAACUAAUAAUGACUUCGUACGUGAAUACAUGAAACUCUAAUGCUGUCCCAUUUUCAAGUUCCACUGUUCCCAUAAAUUAAAUGUGUUUAGUAGAAGACUGGGAAUAUAUAAAUGGAAGUAAUCAGCUCUUUGCCCUUUUAGACUGACAAAAAGAUUAUAGCAGACUACAACUAAAAAGUAGUCAUAACUUGUGAGUCAUAAAAGACCCUAGAGUGAACACAAUUAGAAAAAGAGAAUUAAUGGUAUAUUGUCUAUGUAUGUUGGAACUGCAGCCAGACACUGAAGUGUCAAUAACUUGCAGCAAGAGAGGCUGCUGUUGUUGCUUGGUUUUUUUUCAGACUACUCCAACAUUCUGUGCAAAAUAAUUUCAACAGCUUCCCUCUCUGAGGAAAUAAGCAGAUGAAAUCUACUGUUAUAAACAUAUAUUCAAGAGAAGGGUGGAGUAAUGCUCUGUGCUACUCCCUGUCAGCCUAUUGAUGAAUUGUCAGUGUCACUGGAUGAUGUACCUAGUCUCUGAAAAAAACAUUAUUUUCCUGUUGUUAUUGUUUAUAUGGCUUUUUACACGAGUUUCACCAUCUUAGCAGAACAUCAGAUACAGUUGUCUUACAUGGGUUUCAGUGGAGAUAUGGACUGGAAUAACCAGUCGAUAUAAUAAAGCUGCACAGAGAUGCAGGGAUGAAGACAUGACAAACCAUAGUAAGAUCAGUAGUACAGCAGCGUCAUUAACCUCUUUUCUUUUUUUCUGCACUAAACUUUCCACAGACAAGAGCAUUAGUAAUUUUAACUCUGAUUGAGAACCGCUAUUAUCCACUCACAGCAUGUGGGAGCAAACAGGCACUUGGAUAAAUCACAAAAAAGAAAACCACUUAGCAUGCUGCUUUCCUCAACAACACCUUUUUCUGAAGGUACAAGGCUGAGUGCUGUAGGGAAAGUGUGUGUGAAGAGAAAAGCAAGGCUACAGCAGCCCCCUGAAGCAUGCUGAAGGUCAGCCCCUCUCACAGAAGAACAAGAGGUCACGUUUGACUUAGAAGGAAUCUGGAAGAUUGGCUUCAUGAGUGACAUAACUGGAGCCAUUAGCAAGCUCAUCCAAGAGUAAUCAUCCAUCAAAGGUGCUCACCCCAGGGAUGUAUUUGCCACUGUUCAGCAAUGGAUGCAGUGGGCAGUGACUCCACCAGUGUGACUACGUGGGAAGUCAUGUUCUCCACAGACAGCGCUGCUCCAGCAGAUUGCUGGCAAGUCAAGCUGUACUGAACCACGGAGUACCUCUCACAUGGCCAUUGAGAGGAAGAGUUGCUUAACAGUCUCCAUGAAACCUCAGCACCGUUUUAGAUUGGUAUUUCCUACCGAGUGCUCCAGCAGUCCCAACAUGACAAAAGACAACUAGGAGUAAAGGUUCCAGAUGCUCCUCUAACAUUGCUGGGACAGCCUCCAGAAUAAAUUUCCAGCUCCUACUAACUCCUACUGGAUGUAUCUUCUAUGCCAAGGCCUCUGGAAAGGAUCUGAACUGGAGGAGCUUUGUCACUUCAUCUGUACUGUGUAGAAUCCAGGAGUAAAUUAUUUUGAUAUGAAGUUCUAAUACAGUUAAUAGAGCAUAUAAAA